rnacentral:rRNA from 1 species
UACGAAGGGGGCUAGCGUUGUUCGGAAUUACUGGGCGUAAAGCGCGCGUAGGCGGUGAUCUUUGUCAGAGGUGAAAUCCCGAGGCUCAACUUCGGAAUUGCCUUUGAAAACGGGAUUGCUUGAGUCCGAGAGAGGAUGGCGGAAUUCCUAGUGUAGAGGUGAAAUUCGUAGAUAUUAGGAAGAACACCGGUGGCGAAGGCGGCCAUCUGGCUCGGUACUGACGCUCAGGCGCGAAAGCGUGGGGAGCAAACAGGG